UCUUAUAACUCCCUAAACGGAAACUUAACAACUUUAACUUAGACUGCAUAUUAACCUAGAAUUUGGGCUGAUUUAGUAAAUAAAACCGUGUGUGCUUUGAAAUUCUUAUCAUUUAUGUAUCUUAAAUUAGAUUUAAAAAAAAAAAGAAGUUUUCGAAAUUCUUAGCUAGUAUGCAUUUGAAAUUUGAUUUUCACUUCAUAGAUCAAUCGAA
rnacentral:lncRNA from 1 species